rnacentral:rRNA from 1 species
UGAAUGGGAAUUCGGGGAAUAGCUCUCUCACGUGAGAUUAUAUAAAUUACUUAAUGAGUGAAAAGUCUCAUAUGUAGAAGAAAGACGAGAAGACCCUAGAAAUUUUAUAUACAAAAUCAUAUAUGUUAUUUUGUUGGGGCGACAUGGUAACAAUUAACUUACUAUAUAUACAAGCUACUAAUAAGUUGUAAGAAUAAAUUACUCUAGGGAUAACAGCAUUAUUCAAUAUGAGUUUGUGACCUCGAUGUUGGACUAGGAAAUAAUUUUUUUAGAAGAUAAAUUAUUUGGCUCUGUUCGAGCUUAUUAUCCUACAUGAUCUGAGUUCAAACCGGAGCUCCA